rnacentral:tmRNA from 1 species
GGGGUCGACUGGUUUUGACAGCGAGAUUAAUGAAACGGUAAGCACGUCGAGUAAUGAAAUUAUACUCGUAAAUACUUAUUUCAACUUUUUAAACGGCGAGAAUAACUACGCUUUAGCUGCCUAAUCUGAAUUAUAGUAAGAUUAAGCCUCGUCCUACUAGGUAGGAAAGCUGAAUGUCUCUUGAAAGCCUUGGUUAAUGGCGUUCUUUUUGAGGCAUCGUAAAAAUUGACUAUGAUGGUGUAGCGCUUUGAUGCACUUUCGAGAUAAAAAAGAUAAGUUGUAAGUGGGUUGUCUUUAACCAGCUUGCAAUCGAAAACCCAAGAAAAGAAUAAACGUGUAGAAAGCCCUUUGGUUACUUGUUUGGACGAGAGUUCGAUUCUCUCCGACUCCACUU